ACGGAAGGCAGCAGUGGGGAAUAUUGGGCAAUGGGCGAAAGCCUGACCCAGCAACGCCGCGUGAAGGAAGAAGGUCUUCGGAUUGUAAACUUCUUUUAUGAGGGACGAAGGACGUGACGGUACCUCAUGAAUAAGCCACGGCUAACUACGUGCCAGCAGCCGCGGUAAUACGUAGGUGGCAAGCGUUAUCCGGAUUUACUGGGUGUAAAGGGCGUGUAGGCGGGACAUCAAGUCAGAUGUGAAAGCACGAGGCUCAACUUCGUGUCUGCAUUUGAAACUGACGUUCUUGAGUGUUGGAGAGGCUAACGGAACUCCUAGUGUAGCGGUGAAAUGCGUAGAUAUUAGGAAGAACACCAGUGGCGAAGGCGGUUAGCUGGACAAUAACUGACGCUGAGGCGCGAAAGCGUGGGUAGCAAACAGGAUUAGAUACCCUGGUA
rnacentral:rRNA from 1 species